GAGAUGUCAGUGGAAGCCAUGCUGUUGGAGGAACUGAACAGUACAAACCAUUCAGGUGCAAAGAAGGAGGUCCUGAGGGCUGACCAUCCACAUAAGAAGGUGACGGUACAGCUAGCAUAAGGAACUUACAAAGGAUUCCUUGCCUGAGAGAACUUGGAUAUUGAUGUGCUACGGAGAGAAGCCCUAUUCCAACCGCUGGUUCCCAUAUCCUGGUCCUUGACUCUGGCUCUAACCACUAGACGUUGCCACCUGCUGCUCUGAUCACCCAUGUCUGACCUAGAUCUGACCACCCAUGCUCCAGUCGGUGACCGGUACAGCAGCAAAAGAUGUAAAGAGUAAUAUUUGUAUUGUCUGUGGAUAUGGACUGAAGGAGAUUCCAAUGCACUGAUGUAGUGCAUAUUGAAUAUAUACCUAGAAUCAGUCGUGUGGAGUGCCAGGAUGCACUCAAACUAGCCGUUGGAGGCUGCACAAAUUGCAUCCUGCUGGCUGCAAAUGGAGAGGGAUGAGAAGAUUUGGCCCUUAACAUGGAAGAGGAAAAGAGUGGGCUAAGAAGAUUAAGUUUAUAUUUUUCCUGGAGCCAAUCAAAACAGUGAUUACACGAGGUAAAGUUAGGUAGGUGUAUUGACUUUAUGUUGGUUGGUUACUUGUUUCCCUCCCAUCAUCAUUAAACAGCAUAGAGAGAUUUAUU